UACGGAGGUGGCAAGCGUUGUUCGGAAUUACUGGGCGUAAAGGGCGCGUAGGCGGCCUUCUAAGUCAGACGUGAAAUCCCCCGGCUUAACCUGGGAACUGCGUCUGAUACUGGGAGGCUUGAGUAUGGGAGAGGGAUGUAGAAUUCCAGGUGUAGCGGUGAAAUGCGUAGAUAUCUGGAGGAAUACCAGUGGCGAAGGCGGCUUCCUGGACCAUAACUGACGCUGAGGCGCGAAAGCUAGGGGAGCAAACAGG
rnacentral:rRNA from 1 species